rnacentral:rRNA from 1 species
GACGAACGCUGGCGGCGUGCCUAAUACAUGCAAGUCGAGCGGACUUGACAGAGCUUGCUCUGUUCAAGUUAGCGGCGGACGGGUGAGUAACACGUGGGCAACCUGCCCUGCAGAUUGGGAUAACUCCGGGAAACCGGGGCUAAUACCGAAUAACAUGGAAAACCUCAUGGUUUUCUUUUAAAAGGCGGCUUCGGCUGUCACUGCAGGAUGGGCCCGCGGCGCAUUAGCUAGUUGGUGAGGUAACGGCUCACCAAGGCGACGAUGCGUAGCCGACCUGAGAGGGUGAUCGGCCACACUGGGACUGAGACACGGCCCAGACUCCUACGGGAGGCAGCAGUAGGGAAUCUUCCGCAAUGGACGAAAGUCUGACGGAGCAACGCCGCGUGAGUGAAGAAGGUUUUCGGAUCGUAAAACUCUGUUGUUAGGGAAGAACAAGUAUCGGAGUAACUGCCGGUACCUUGACGGUACCUGACCAGAAAGCCACGGCUAACUACGUGCCAGCCGCCGCGGUAACAC